rnacentral:misc_RNA from 1 species
AUCAAGUUUGAAUGAGUUUUCUGUAUUAUCAAGACUAGAUUUCCAGAAGCAAAUCGUAGCCAAAGAUUUGACAAAAGUCAAAACUAUUAGGCCAAACUCGCUGUAGUAGGAAACAGCCAAGAACUACAUUUUAGGAGUGCCGACUAUUGAAAUCGGCGCAUCCCAAUUCCACAACAAAACCCAAAGGUUAGGUGUGAGAGUGCUCAUGAUACUGAAACAGGCAUACUCCUCGGAAUACCAAGGAGUGCAAUGUGCGUUCAAAGAUUCGAUGAUUCACUGAAUUCUGCAAUUCACAUUACGUAUCGCAUUUCGCUGCGUUCUUCAUCGAUGCGAGAACCAAGAGAUCCGUUGUUGAAAGUUGUUUUAAACAGAUUAUUAAAAUCAUUGUUUAGUUGUUCAGUAAGUUUUUCAUAAGGAUGAUAUAAUUGUUUUUGGGACCGGUAACAAAAAAGUUGCCAUGUUUAAGUCCCAAAAUUACAUACGGUCAAAGCCAGCACAAAGGAAAA